rnacentral:lncRNA from 1 species
UAAAAUACAAACUAUGUACAGGCGGUAAUUUAACUAUAAUCUAUAAAAUUCAGAAAGGUUCCACGUCAAAACAAAACUAAGUGCUAAGUAUUUGAUACGAGGAUUGCAAAUGUAUGAUCUUCUGCAGUCAAGGAUAAAGUAAUUUCACUCAAGGCUGAAACCUUGCUCUUCUUGCAUUCAAUAGACUAAAAUGUACCCUAUAAAUUCAAAAUAAACAAUAAUUAGUACAAAAGACAUCAAUACAAAGAUGCAAGUUUACUUUGUAAAAUGCUAAAAGAACGAUCAAAAAGAGAAACUUUAGCAUAUAACAAGAGGGGAAAACGUAAAGCGAUAAGAAAACAAACCUGUAUACUUUUUAAAAAACUUUGGAAAGGAUUUUCAUCUCAAUUUUGUAAUAUCUUCCCUAGAACUGUGGGUCCUUCCAACAUUAUAUUGUAAUCUCCAAGGUUCCACUCAAUAUCUAUCACAAUACAACACAAUAUCUAUUAAUUUGUUAAUAUAAAUCAAAAAAUUCAAAUAAAAAAGGUGUAUGGGGAUUCAGAAAUCCUAAGAUACAUACAUAAACAUAUCUGGAAAGAAAGAAGGCGACUGGCUAUCUAAGCGGUGAUUGAUCAGUUGGUUUGCUCUGUUCAUGUGAAGAGAAAAGACAUUGUUGAAGAAGAAGAAAGGGGGGAGGAAGG